rnacentral:rRNA from 1 species
CUGAGAGGAUGACCAGCCACACUGGAACUGAGACACGGUCCAGACUCCUACGGGAGGCAGCAGUGGGGAAUAUUGCACAAUGGGCGCAAGCCUGAUGCAGCCAUGCCGCGUGUAUGAAGAAGGCCUUCGGGUUGUAAAGUACUUUCAGCGGGGAGGAAGGGAGUAAAGUUAAUACCUUUGCUCAUUGACGUUACCCGCAGAAGAAGCACCGGCUAACUCCGUGCCAGCAGCCGCGGUAAUACGGAGGGUGCAAGCGUUAAUCGGAAUUACUGGGCGUAAAGCGCACGCAGGCGGUUUGUUAAGUCAGAUGUGAAAUCCCCGGGCUCAACCUGGGAACUGCAUCUGAUACUGGCAAGCUUGAGUCUCGUAGAGGGGGGUAGAAUUCCAGGUGUAGCGGUGAAAUGCGUAGAGAUCUGGAGGAAUACCGGUGGCGAAGGCGGCCCCCUGGACGAAGACUGACGCUCAGGUGCGAAAGCGUGGGGAGCAAACAGGAUUAG